AGAGGUGGCAGAGUGGUCGAAUGCGGCGGUCUUGAAAACCGUUGUACCGCAAGGUACCGGGGGUUCGAAUCCCUCCCUCUCCGCCA
rnacentral:tRNA from 1 species